rnacentral:lncRNA from 1 species
AGAAUUGGUAUUUGCAUUUUAUUUGCUGAAGGUCCCUGAAAAGCAGUGAUGUUUUGUCUUCAGUACAUAUACAGAGGACACCAAUAAAGUGACCAAAAUGAACACUAAUGUUCUGUCUCAAGAUGUUCCCCUCACACUUCUCAUUUUUUGUGAGCUAUUACAUAGCUGUAGUGAUGGAAAACAAGCUGCUAUAUUUAACUAUAUUUUAAUAUAUAUCAGUAACUGACAUAUGUUUCAUAUGUUUAGCUCUAAUUAACAGGUUUCCAAAUUUAUAUUAUCUAGCUUUCUGUAAGUGUUUAUUUUUGUGCAGCACAUGUAAUGUUAUAUUCACAGAACCGGUCAUAAAUUUUUCAGCAAAACAAAUGUAGGAAAGUGGCAAUUUUGAAACUUUCUUAGGGAAUGUGAAUUUUUUAAUGAAAAACUUAUUUCCUGAGAAGCUUUGACAUGCCUUCAUUAUGGGUUCUGAUCUGAGGAAGGAAGCGACUGCUGCACUGGGGUGUAGGACAUGGAAGGAGCUGAUAUGGGAUGUGCUCCUUUUGGUAGAGGAGGCAGUUGAUCCUGGUGAAUCUUCUCCCUUUGGCUCAUUUACAUCCCAAGAGGGAAUGCAGAAAUACUAAGUCUCAAACAGAUACCAUGUGGAUGUAAUCACAGCAAAAAUGAUUAAGCUUAAAAAUUAUUGAGCAAGCAAUGGAGCCCCUGUUAGAACUGUUGCUCUCUUUGUAGGACAGCUGAUGCUGAGCACUGUGCUCAGGGAGUACUGGCACUUGGAACCUGCCUCUGACUUCAUGUGACAGUCCUGGCUCCUCCUUCAGCUCAGCCAUGCUUUGGAAACCAGACACAGCCUCCACACAGACCUGCUCCCUGCCAUCAUGGUUAUGGAUGUGGCUUUGCUGCUUGUCAGGCUUACUGAGCCUUCCUUUACCACUGGAGCUGGUACUUCUACUUCUCUCAUUCCCCAGCAUGUAAAAGAACUUUGUUGUUUGGAACCCCACGCCUUAGCUGUGCUCGGUGCAGCUGCUCUCUCCUACAUGAUAAGGGCUGAUAGUGUCCAGAAAAAGCAAAUGUUUCACAUGGAUCCUUGAUGUUCCAAGCUGACAUAAAGCGACAUACACAGAGAAAUGUGACCAGAGCUGUUCUCUCUCACAUUUGCCAUCACAGAUCAGACUCUCUCCAUACCAGAAGAUUGAUGUUCUCUAUAAUAAUGUAAUAGUAAUAAUUAUUAUA